AAUUUUAUAAUUUUAAGUUAAAAAGAAUUUGAAUUGCGAAAAUCGAUUGAAUUUAGAAAACGAUCCUAUUCGGUUUUGGAUUCGAAUCCUAAAACUAAACUCCUAAUUCUAGCCCAAUUGGAAAAGCCCAAAUAAUAAGACCCAAAACACUUUACUCCUUCCUUCUCUUUCAAUUCACGUAAAAAAGGCCAAAAACAAAAAUACACCAAAACCCUUUCUCUACUCCAAGUUCACGUGAAUUGCUUCUCAAACCUCCUCCUUGCUUCACGUUAACCUCUGCGCCGUCACCUUCAGCCACCUGACCACCGCCGGCACUCCUCCCUCCUCCGCCGUCCGCACCACCAGCCACCAUCACCUUGCCGCCCUGCCGCCCUGCUCUUAGCCACCACCUAAUCGCACCGCCGAUCCUCCCAACUGCCCGGUAAUGCUUGUCCUUCCUUUUCUCUUUCGUUCUCCUUUUUUUUUCUAUGUUAGUUCGUGAACUCCUCCUCAUUCGUGCUCUGUUCAUUGCGGAAGCAACCACCAUUCGCCAGCCGCAGCCACCACCUCGCCCAGCCACGUCGACCCAUCAACCACCAUCGCCGCGUGCAACCUUGUGUCCGCCGGCAGCCUUCAUCUCUCCUCUUCAUUGGGCGGAGAAUUCUCUUUAGGCGACUUUUGAAAGUGUUAAAGUGGCCUAUCAGUUUGUUUACACAAGUCUCUAAGGAUCAAUAAGCAUUGUCCAUCUGCAGGUUUGAAGAUGUUGCAUCAUUGGGAUCGGGAAUAGAGAGCUUGUAUUUAGUUUUGAUUUGCUAAGUUGACUUGGGUUUGUUUAAUUGGACUUUAAACUUGUCAUACUAUUUAUAUUUCCUUAUGUUCGUUGGUUGAUUUUUGGGACUAAACCUGUAAUCGAUUAUUUAUAAACCUAAAGUUAGUUUUAUGUUUUCCGCUGCAAAAUUCUGAAUAAGCCGUU